AUUUUCAGCACUAAUACCCAAAACCUAAAGACUAUAAGCUAUGAACUUUAAACUUAAAGGACUUGGCGGUAAUUUGGCCCAGUAAGAGGAACCUGUUUGAUAAACGAUAAACCCCGAAAAAUCUUACCCAUCCUUAAAGCUUGUAUACCGUCAUUAUUAGGUUACUCUCAUAGGAAAAGUAACUUCAAGAAAUAUUUYUAUAUUUAGUAUAUUAGAUCAAGGUGCAGUCCAUGGAUGGGACAAAAUGGGUUACAAUAAAACUUAUUUACUACGAAUAGAAGAUUUAAACAUCUUCUUGAAGGAGGAUUUUAUAGUAAGGCCAUUUUAAUAAGUUACCCUGAUAGAGGAUCCGAAUUAAGUACAUAUCGCCCGUCGCUUCCAUCUACAAAUGGAAUAAGUCGUAACAUAG
rnacentral:rRNA from 1 species